rnacentral:rRNA from 1 species
UAAGUCCCGCAACGAGCGCAACCCUUGUCCUUAGUUGCCAGCCUUAAGUUGGGCACUCUAAGGAGACUGCCGGUGACAAACCGGAGGAAGGUGGGGACGACGUCAAGUCAUCAUGGCCCUUACGGGAUGGGCUACACACGUGCUACAAUGGCAUAUACAAAGGGUUGCAAACUUGCGAGAGUGAGCGGAUCCCAUAAAGUAUGUCGUAGUCCGGAUUGGAGUCUGCAACUCGACUCCAUGAAGUCGGAAUCGCUAGUAAUCGUAGAUCAGAAUGCUACGGUGAAUACGUUCCCGGGCCUU